GAUGAACGCUGGCGGCGUGCCUAAUACAUGCAAGUCGAGCGAACGGACGAGAAGCUUGCUUCUCUGAUGUUAGCGGCGGACGGGUGAGUAACACGUGGAUAACCUACCUAUAAGACUGGGAUAACUUCGGGAAACCGGAGCUAAUACCGGAUAAUAUUUUGAACCGCAUGGUUCAAAAGUGAAAGACGGUUUUGCUGUCACUUAUAGAUGGAUCCGCGCUGCAUUAGCUAGUUGGUAAGGUAACGGCUUACCAAGGCGACGAUGCAUAGCCGACCUGAGAGGGUGAUCGGCCACACUGGAACUGAGACACGGUCCAGACUCCUACGGGAGGCAGCAGUAGGGAAUCUUCCGCAAUGGGCGAAAGCCUGACGGAGCAACGCCGCGUGAGUGAUGAAGGUCUUCGGAUCGUAAAACUCUGUUAUUAGGGAAGAACAUAUGUGUAAGUAACUGUGCACGUCUUGACGGUACCUAAUCAGAAAGCCACGGCUAACUACGUG
rnacentral:rRNA from 1 species